rnacentral:rRNA from 1 species
UAAGGAAUAUUGGUCAAUGGGCGCAAGCCUGAACCAGCCAUGCCGCGUGCAGGAUGAAGGUCCUACGGAUUGUAAACUGCUUUUGUACGGGAAAAAACCCCCGGUUUCUACCGGGGUUGAUGGUACCGUAAGAAUAAGGAUCGGCUAACUCCGUGCCAGCAGCCGCGGUAAUACGGAGGAUCCAAGCGUUAUCCGGAUUCACUGGGUUUAAAGGGUGCGUAGGCGGAAUGACAAGUCAGUGGUGAAAACCUAUAGCUUAACUAUAGAACUGCCAUUGAUACUGUUAUUCUUGAGUGUAUUGGAUGUGAAUGGAAUGUGUCAUGUAGCGGUGAAAUGCUUAGAUAUGACACAGAACACCCAUUGCGAAGGCAGUUCACAACACUACAACUGACGCUGAGGCACGAAAGCGUGGGGAUCAAACAGGAUUAGAUACCCCCGUAGUCC